UUAUUACAAAACAUGCUGCACUGCAAAAACACAAAGUAUUACCAAGAAUUUUUGGUCUAGCUUCUACAGCAAAUAUCUUAGUACAUUUGAAAUAAGACAAAACUGACUUACAACUUACAAGUAACUUUUCAGCAAAAUAUAGGAGUUUGUUUUAAGUCAAUAAUUCCUU